AUAUCAAUAAGCGGAGGAAAAGAAACCAACAGGGAUUGCCCUAGUAACGGCGAGUGAAGCGGCAACAGCUCAAAUUUGAAAUCUGGCCUCGGCCCGAGUUGUAAUUUGCAGAGGAUGCUUCUGGCGCGGUGCCUUCCGAGUUCCCUGGAACGGGACGCCAAAGAGGGUGAGAGCCCCGUAUGGUCGGACACCAAGCCUGUGUGAAGCUCCUUCGACGAGUCGAGUAGUUUGGGAAUGCUGCUCUAAAUGGGAGGUAAAUCUCUUCUAAAGCUAAAUACCGGCCAGAGACCGAUAGCGCACAAGUAGAGUGAUCGAAAGAUGAAAAGCACCUUGAAAAGGGGGUUAAAUAGUACGUGAAAUUGUUGAAAGGGAAGCACUUAUGACCAGACUUGGGCCGGGCGGCUCAUCAGGGGUUCUCCCCUGUGCACUCCGCCCGGCACAGGCCAGCAUCGGUUCUCGCGGGGGGAUAAGACCGUCGGGAACGUAGCACCCUCCGGGGUGUGUUAUAGCCCGGCGGACGAUACCCUCGAGGGGACCGAGGUUCGCGCUCCGCAAGGAUGCUGGCGUAAUGGUCAUCAGUGACCCGU
rnacentral:rRNA from 1 species